CACAACAAUGCAACAAUGUCGUAUUAAUGCCAGUGGUUGGAAUGUCAGCAAAGCGAGCUGUAACAUCAUUUUACAGUGAAAAAUGGACUGGACGUAGAAUCUGAAAGAUGUCGAAAAAGCGUGUGCAACUUAAGGAUCGUAUACUCGAUAACGUUGCGAAAGCAAUCAAAGAGGUGCAACGAUCUUACUUUAGCCAAGACACGGAUGAUGUCACUCCUAUUACGGAUGAAGACAGACCGUUCCAGAGACUUGUGGAGCAUAUUGACCAUGCAUUCCUACAUGGGUUGCGUGUCAUCACAGCAGGGUACUGGGGAGUGGUGCAGAAGUUCACGCACAAGGAUAUCAUUUCCGACAUAAUGGCUCUCAAUCGCCUGGCAACGGAUUUUGGACGAGGUCGUGCUUGGCUUUACCUUUCUUUGAAAGAGACAUCGUUGGAGAGCUAUAUUAGAUGUAUCCUUGACAACCCUAAGCUGGUACAAUCAUACUACCUUGAGGAUGCCAUUCUGCGAGACCAACAACGACUGAUCCUUUUGCAAACAUUGGUGUCAGGAUUGGAUUUUGUUCAGUUUGACCCUGAAUUGAAUAAUGCUUACUUAGAUUUAGUAAGCCACAUGCCAAGGUCAGCAACUAAAUUUGAAGAACAAAAUGAAGAAAAUUAUUUCAACUAUGACAGUAUAUCAGUUGGCAGCAGUGAAUCCGCUUCCCUAACUAACACCGAUAUGACAGACAAUGUUGAGAAAGAGAAUUUAACCAGUGACGUGAAAGGUAUUGAAUGUAGCGGAGAAACUGUUGUUAAUGAAAGUUUGGAGACGCACAGUACAAAAGAGGAUGACACCUCUACAACAAGUAGUCAAGAAAUUCUCAGAUCAUUUUCAAGGGAUGAGAAUGAUGGAGCUACUAACAAAGAAAAAACAAAUGAAAGUAUUUUUAAAGUGCAUGAGAAUCCACUAGAAAAAGUGAGAGGAAGUUUAUCUGUUGAAAAACCAAAAGAAAGUCUAAGUGUCUUACUUGGAAAAGUUGAUUCUAGUCUUGAAAGGCCAGACUUGACAAUAGAAAGUGAACUAAGAACACCUGAACAGGAGUCAAUUGGUGACCUUAAUGAUAGCCUUGAAGUAAUUCAUAUUUUUGAAAAAAAGAGUAAAAAAGCAAAACGUAAGAAAAGGAAAACAUCAAAAACAAUACCACCAAUAAUAAACAAAGAAAAACAUGAGUCGGUGAGUUUGAAUUCUGAAGAGGGCACUGUUAGUAUAACAAGUGAAGAUAGCUGGUCCAGUAGCCACGGAACUCCUAGAUCUUACAAUGAUAAUCAGAGCUUCUCUUCAAUUGGAGAGUCUAUACGUUCUGAAGAUCUUUUGAAUAGCUCUCCACUUCCUCAGAGUGAAAAUCCUUCCCCAAAUAUUUUUAAAGACUUGACGAAGAAUGAAAAUACUUUAGUUGGACACUUAGUUUCACCUUAUGUAAUUAUGGUGCAGGAAGACUCAAUAAUAAAGUCACCAAGUACAAAUUUACAAAAUAGUAGUACUAGAGAAAAUUACAAUAUUAUUUAUGAACCAGAUUUAGAAAAGGUGCUUACCAGAAAUUUAAGCAAAGAUUCUAUUAUUAAAACAUAUGAAAAGAUUACUUCAGAUGAGACUAUUCAUGUACAAAAGAAUAAGUCAUUUGAAAUUGAUUUUGAACACCAGUUGGGAGAAGGUUUGAGCCAAAAUGAAAUUGCAGAUGCCAAUGGAAGUAAUCUAGCAAUUGUUGUCAAUGAUGUUGAAAUUGAUAGUGACUACUGUCAAGAACAAAGAUCAAAACCAGAUGGUGCAGAUACAUCAUUUGAGGAAGUGGUUGAAACUUCAUUACUGCAGGAUGUAGAUAAAAGUCUUCAUGAUGGCAGUUAUGAGAGUCUGUUCACAAGUUCAGUUUCUCAGAAAAUUGAUGAGGCAGACAAACCUUCAUUAAAGUCAUCUGAGAGUGCAGCAUCACUCUGCCCAGAAGGAAGCUCUAUGUCACAGAGCCUCUCUGAUAAAGAGUCACUGCAAGACUCCAUGUCCAGAACAAGCAUUGAUAAUGGAUCGAGUAUAGUAGAACCUUGUGAUGAAAACAGUGAGUGUGAAAGAACUGCAUCCACUCAUGAUACCUCAAUAGCUUCAAAUCCAGUUAGCAUGCAGCCAGAACCAGAUAUUGAAAUGAAACUUGAUAACAACUGUAAGUUGUUCCUGAUGCUUGAAGUAUUUAAGAACCAGAGUGAAGAAUUUAGGAAGAUGUUUCAUCUAAACACCGGGCAUGGGGAAGGUGAUUUGCAACCGGUCUUUGUACUUUUGACUGAUCAAGCUUUGUACUUAUUAAGGAAAGGUGAUACUGAUUUGAGCUAUACCACGGAAGUGAGAGUUCCAUACAAUGAUUUGGAUUACAUUUCAGUGAGUUUAAAUUACCAAAUUAUUCACAUUGUUUGUGUAAACAGAAGAAAACAGUAUUGGUUAUCAAAUGGCGCUGAAUCAAGCACAAGGUAUUUUUUGGAUGAGCUAAAGCAGGUAAUGAAGGGAGGCAGCAGGACAAAAGGUCUACCAAGCAUACUUACAGAUGCCACGACACAGAAGAUCACGCUGCGCAAGUUUGUUGCUGAGCAGUGUAGAUGUGAGAUGGCAGAUGUCCAAAUUCUCCUGUACUCGUUGAUUCACUGGGAAGACCUAACUGACUCUCUUGCUGCACCUGACCUCCAGCUCUACAGGUCACCUGUGAUUAAGGAGGGCAAGUUGGACUACAAGACCCCUGGUUCUGCUCUAUUCUACGCCUACUGGAAGCCCUGCUAUUGUCUUCUGAAACACGACACCUUCCAUAAGUUUGCUCAGAAGGACGACUUGGAGCCGGAGUUAUCGGUACAAUUAAGGUCAAACCGUUUCGGAGGAUGUAGGCGAAUACGUAAUGGAGACAGGCCACAUGGUUUUGAACUAAUUCUAGAUGAUGGGUCUUCAUUGCAAGUUGCCUGUGAAAACGAAACUGAGGUUUCUGAUUGGCUGCAAGCAAUCUGUACCAUAGUUGCUGAAACUAUGACUGCUAAGAUAGACGGUCGAAGCCCUAUCCUGUGCCAUCCUUGUUGCCUAGUCGUGUCUGAAUCCAAGUUGUUUCUCUGCCACGAAGAAUCUCAGACACAAUUCUACCGGUUACUGGCUAGCUGCAAUAUACUUGAAAUUGCUAGCCUGGCUGUUGAUGACCGGCAGCAGGCUUAUGUCAUAGUUAAAUUUCAGGUAGAAGAUAGUGAGAAUCCAUGGGUGUUGUACUUCACGAGUGCUGCUGAAAAGCAAAAGUUUGAACUCGCAGUAGGAGAAGCAUGGCAGAAAUUAAACCAGGAUGUCUUGCCAAUCUUGCCAGUCAGUGACGAAAAGCUUAAGCAACGAUGCCAAGAAUGUUUUAUAUUGAUUCAGUCAUCAUGGCAACGAAGUGAUAGUCUGCUGAGGGGAAGGAUUGGCGGCAAUAUCUGGUGAAACAAGAAGAAAUAUUUUGGUGCAAGAAAAGCUACUACACAGUAACCCAGGAGUUAUUGCCACCUGUUCAUCUAUGACAUCCGAACCAUAACACAAAUAGGGAUAUAGUUAAUAUAAUUAUUUUCGUCAUAUAAAUCUGUAAAUUCUUAUGUAAACCUUGUUUUAUUUAUUUGGAAACCAAAAAUGUUGCUUUUUAAGUUGUGCCGAGUUGUGCUAAGUUGUGCUUAAUGUGGUCUAUUGAAAGUGGUUACGGCUAAGUAUUAAAAUAUGGCAUUGGCUACAAUCUUCAAUUUCAAUAAAUGGCAAACUUCAAGUAUGUGGAGUGUCUCUUUGACUAGGAAAUUAUUUGGAGGCAAAUGAGUAGUGUUCUUUGAUCUUUCAAUUUAAUAUUAAUGGACAUUUGUUUUAAUUAUUAUUGUCAAUAUAUAGUAAAAUAUUUUUGAAAAUUUUUUAGAAGUUAAGCUAAUUUGUAGUUUGAACUGUGCAUACCUGUAUCCAAGGUCAGUCAACAUAAACUUAUGUUGUGAUGG
rnacentral:misc_RNA from 1 species